rnacentral:rRNA from 1 species
ACGGAGGGUGCAAGCGUUAUCCGGAUUCACUGGGUUUAAAGGGUGCGUAGGCGGGUUGGUAAGUCCGUGGUGAAAUCUCCAAGCUUAACUUGGAAACUGCCGUGGAUACUAUCAAUCUUGAAUAUCGUGGAGGUAAGCGGAAUAUGUCAUGUAGCGGUGAAAUGCUUAGAUAUGACAUAGAACACCAAUUGCGUAGGCAGCUUACUACACGAUCAUUGACGCUGAGGCACGAAAGCGUGGGGAUCAAACAGGAUUAGAUACCCUGGUAGUCCACGCCCUAAACGAUGGAUACUCGACAUCAGCGAUACACUGUUGGUGUCUGAGCGAAAGCAUUAAGUAUCCCACCUGGGAAGUACGAUCGCAAGAUUG